GGGUGACUAGUCUAGUGGUCAGGACGCUUCGUUGUGGUCUUCUCGUCCAUAUGCGAGCCCGAAGAAACCCCGGUUCGAUUCCGGGGUCGCCCA